ACCCAUCAGGCGACGACGGGUAGCCGGCCUGAGAGGGCGACCGGCCACACUGGGACUGAGACACGGCCCAGACUCCUACGGGAGGCAGCAGUGGGGAAUAUUGCACAAUGGGCGAAAGCCUGAUGCAGCGACGCCGCGUGAGGGAUGACGGCCUUCGGGUUGUAAACCUCUUUCAGCAGGGAAGAAGCGAAAGUGACGGUACCUGCAGAAGAAGCGCCGGCUAACUACGUGCCAGCAGCCGCGGUAAUACGUAGGGCGCAAGCGUUGUCCGGAAUUAUUGGGCGUAAAGAGCUCGUAGGCGGCUUGUCACGUCGGUUGUGAAAGCCCGGGGCUUAACCCCGGGUCUGCAGUCGAUACGGGCAGGCUAGAGUGUGGUAGGGGAGAUCGGAAUUCCUGGUGUAGCGGUGAAAUGCGCAGAUAUCAGGAGGAACACCGGUGGCGAAGGCGGAUCUCUGGGCCAUUACUGACGCUGAGGAGCGAAAGCGUGGGGAGCGAACAGGAUUAGAUACCCUGGGUAGUCNCACGCCGUAAACGUUGGGAACUAGGUGUUGGCGACAUUGCNACGUCUCGUCGNGUGCCGCAGCUGAAUGCAUUACAGUUCCCCGCCUGGGGGAGUUACGGG
rnacentral:rRNA from 1 species